GUGAGGAAUAUUGGUCAAUGGGCGAGAGCCUGAACCAGCCAAGUCGCGUGAAGGAAGAAGGAUCUAUGGUUCGUAAACUUCUUUUGCAGGGGAAUAAAGUGCAGGACGUGUCCUGUUUUGUAUGUACCCUGAGAAUAAGGAUCGGCUAACUCCGUGCCAGCAGCCGCGGUAAUACGGAGGAUCCGAGCGUUAUCCGGAUUUAUUGGGUUUAAAGGGUGCGUAGGUGGUUUGAUAAGUCAGCGGUGAAAGUUUGCAGCUUAACUGUAAAAAUGCCGUUGAAACUGUCGGACUUGAGUGUAAAUGAGGUAGGCGGAAUGCGUGGUGUAGCGGUGAAAUGCAUAGAUAUCACGCAGAACUCCGAUUGCGAAGGCAGCUUACUAAGCUACAACUGACACUGAAGCACGAAAGCGUGGGGAUCAAACAGGAUUAGAUACCCGGGUAGUCC
rnacentral:rRNA from 1 species